rnacentral:rRNA from 1 species
GAGAUAACCAUGGUGAAGGAACUCGGCAAAAUGACACCGUAACUUCGGGAGAAGGUGUGCCCUUGGUAUGUGAAGGCCCUGCGGCUGGAGCAGAGAAGGGUUGCAAAUACUAGGUGGUCGCGACUGUUUAUAAAAAACACAGCACUCUGCAAACUCGUAAGAGGACGUAUAGGGUGUGACGCCUGCCCGGUGCCGGAAGGAUAAUUGAUGGGGUCAGCCGCAAGGCGAAGCUCUUGAUCGAAGCCCCGGUAAACGGCGGCCGUAACAAUAACGGUCCUAAGGUAGCGAAAUUCCUUGUCGGGUAAGUUCCGACCUGCACGAAUGGCGUAACGAUGGCCACACUGUCUCCACCAUGGACUCAGUGAAAUUGAAAUUGCGGUUAAGAUGCCGUAUACCCGCGGCUAGACGGAAAGACCCCGUGCACCUUUACUAUAGCUUUACACUGGACUUUGAACAUAUCUGUGUAGGAUAGCUGGGAGGCUUUGAAGCGGCGACGCCAGUCGUCGUGGAGCCAACCUUGAAAUACCAGCCUGGUCUGUUUGAGGUUCUAACCUAGAUCCGUAAUCCGGAUCGGGGACAGUGUAUGGUGGGUAGUUUGACUGGGGCGGUCUCCUCCGAAAGAGUAACGGAGGAGCGCGAAGGUACCCUCAGCGCGGUCGGAAAUCGCGCGUUGCGUGCAAAGGCACAAGGGUGCUUGACUGCGAGACAGACACGUCGAGCAGGUACGAAAGUAGGUCUUAGUGAUCCGGUGGUUCUGAAUGGAAGGGCCAUCGCUCAACGGAUAAAAGGUACGCCGGGGAUAACAGGCUGAUACCACCCAAGAGUUCAUAUCGACGGUGGUGUUUGGCACCUCGAUGUCGGCUCAUCUCAUCCUGGGGCUGAAGCCGGUCCCAAGGGUAUGGCUGUUCGCCAUUUAAAGAGGUACGCGAGCUGGGUUUAGAACGUCGUGAGACAGUUCGGUCCCUAUCUGCCGUGGGCGUUGGAGAUUUGAGAGGAGCUGCUCCUAGUACGAGAGGACCGGAGUGGACGUACCUCUGGUAUUCCGGUUGUCACGCCAGUGGCACUGCCGGGUAGCUAUGUACGGACGGGAUAACCGCUGAAAGCAUCUAAGCGGGAAGCCUCCCUCAAGAUGAGAUCUCCCUGGAACUUUAAGUUCCCUGAAGGGCCCUCGUAGACUACGAGGUUGAUAGGCUGGGUGUGGAAGUGUGGUAACACAUGAAGCUAACCAGUACUAAUUGCCCGUGAGACUUGACC